rnacentral:sRNA from 1 species
UGCCCUCCCUGCGGGCCACCAAGAGAAACCAAGUACUGGGACAGGUAACCUAAGUAAGGGACACCUCAGCCGCCGCAGCUUUCAGAGUUCUUCCUGGGACUCCCUGGGUAGGGGCGGGCGCGGCUCACGGGAGACCCGGGAGGGAUGCCUGGGAAUGACUGCGCUUGCCUUGGGUUUUCUGUAGCGGCUUCUGCGGAUGGACCUGCCCGUCGCAGAUGACAACACCGUCCACUUCAAUUCCACCCUUAUGGCUCUGAUCCGCACAGCCCUGGACAUCAAGAUUGCCAAGGGAGGAGCCGACAAACAGCAGAUGGACGCUGAGCUGCGGAAGGAGAUGAUGGCAAUUUGGCCCAAUCUGUCCCAGAAGACGCUAGACCUGCUGGUCACACCUCACAAGUGUAAGAGCCGAGCCCAGCCCUGGGAUCCCAUCCAGCAGGACAGAUGGAGGGGGAGGGAAAG